CGAGGGUCCUGGGGAAGCCGCGGCUAAUGAGCGUGGAUUUCCCAUGAUCCGUAAC
rnacentral:pre_miRNA from 1 species